rnacentral:RNase_P_RNA from 1 species
CAUGAGGGGUUUCCGCGGUUCCUCUCGUCAUUUCUGCAGAACGUCGUCUCUGUGGCACUUGUCUAGACCAUACUUCUCUUAGGAGAUGAUAGUUCUAAUUAGAAGUUUUUUCAGCCAUCAACUAGGUUAGACUAGCUGUUAAGUUUUAUUUUUGUAUAUACUUACACAAACACUAUAGUCAUCUCAGACUGUGCAAGCGCGUGACUUUCCUCAU